CUACAGUUCACUUCAUAGCUGCAAGUCUUGGUGGAAGCCCAUGGAGUAAACACAGCUUUUUCGUACCACCAUCUCCAACCUCUCUCAGCAGAGCUGUUCACUGAGCUGCUAGGAGCCAUCUGUCCUGGUCAGAAACUGCCCAUGGUUAGGUAGUCGCAGUAACCGCCAGCAUCCAGCUUCUUCCCAGGGUUAGCCUGUCACAAGCCUCAGAGGAACCCCAUUCCUUCCUUUGACGCAUGCUUACUUACUGUGACACUUACCUGGUGGGGUGUCAAGAGUUACACGACAGUGAGGCCUGGAGCCCAGGCCAGGCUUCUGCGGUCGGGAUUGACCCUUAGUUCUUGGUUCUAACUUGGCCCUUCCUGGUGCUCCGAGUUAUUAGAAUCCAGGUUCACCACUGGUUAGAGCCACCCUGACAGCCGCUGCUGCAGAGUUGGGAGAGGACUCCGUCAGUAAGACACUUGGAUCACAGUCCUGGUGGCUGAUGGUCUCUGGGGCGCACUAGUCCCUGGGGGACUUCUGUGCCAGAGGCACACGGCAUUCCCAAAGGUCACACCUGAAGCUGUCCAGAGGUCUCCACACAUAUGGAACUAAAAAGCAAAAAAACCGGCUUUCUCCACAUUUGGCCUAGUAAGCCUUGUGGGGCAGGACCAGGGCGGGGUCAGUGAUGAAUCUCAGACUUAGGUGCCAGCACUUAAAGUGACGGUAGGGCUGUUUUACCUUCCAGGGGGGGUCUCCAUCUGCCAUUGCAUAGCCUCACUGUACUUGUGAGGAGUUGUUUCUAAGUUCAUCCCCAGAGUUGUCUGUUUUCACACAGGAAUGAUUCCACAAUUACUUUUUUUGUCAUAUGCUCCUAACAAUGGAGUUUCUCCUCAUGACUGAAGCAUAAACGCAGUGUUGGAAAUGCACGGCUGCUCACUCGUGGCCUCUUCUGUCUCCUCCCCACCGAGAUGAUGGUUGGUGAAGUUUUUCCUUAACUUGUAGAUUUAAAAAGCUUUUAAAUAGUGUUUGGAUGUGUUCCUCAGCUCUUCAGGGC
rnacentral:lncRNA from 1 species